rnacentral:misc_RNA from 1 species
GCAAACUUGGUCAUUUAGAGGAAGUAAAAGUCGUAACAAGGUCUCCGUAGGUGAACCUGCGGAGGGAUCAUUAACGACUGGCCUCACGGCCUUCAACCUCCAAACCUUGUGGAACCAAAAAGAUUUGCUUGGGUGCUUCCUCGGGGGCACCCAUCAUCAUGCCAGGGAGUUUACUUUUGGUGUCCGAUCUUUUAAAAAAACAAGAAUCAAAACUUUCAACAAAGGAUCUCUUGGCUCUUGCAUCGAUGAAGAACGCAGC